rnacentral:rRNA from 1 species
UACGUAGGGGGCAAGCGUUAUCCGGAUUCACUGGGUGUAAAGGGAGCGUAGACGGCGACGCAAGUCUGGAGUGAAAGCCCGGGGCCCAACCCCGGGACUGCUCUGGAAACUGCGGCGCUGGAGUACGGGAGGGGCAGGCGGAAUUCCUGGUGUAGCGGUGAAAUGCGUAGAUAUCAGGAGGAACACCGGUGGCGAAGGCGGCCUGCUGGACUGCAACUGACGUUGAGGCUCGAAAGCGUGGGGAGCAAACAGG